rnacentral:rRNA from 1 species
AGUGAACGCUGGCGGUAGGCCUAACACAUGCAAGUCGAACGGCAGCACAGUAAGAGCUUGCUCUUACGGGUGGCGAGUGGCGGACGGGUGAGGAAUACAUCGGAAUCUACUUUUUCGUGGGGGAUAACGUAGGGAAACUUACGCUAAUACCGCAUACGACCUACGGGUGAAAGCAGGGGAUCUUCGGACCUUGCGCGAUUGAAUGAGCCGAUGUCGGAUUAGCUAGUUGGCGGGGUAAAGGCCCACCAAGGCGACGAUCCGUAGCUGGUCUGAGAGGAUGGUCAGCCACACUGGAACUGAGACACGGUCCAGACGACUGAGGGAGGCAGCAGUGGGGAAUAUUGGACAAUGGGGGCAAGCAUGAUCCAGCCAUACCGCGUCGGUGAAGAAGGCCUUCGGGUUGUAAAGCCGUUUUGUUGGGAAAGAAAAGCAGCAGGUUAAUACCCCGCUGUUCUGACGGUACCCAAAGAAUAAGCACCGGCUAACUUCGUG